rnacentral:rRNA from 1 species
GACGAACGCUGGCGGCGUGCUUAACACAUGCAAGUCGAACGGAAAGGCCCUGGUUUUGUGGGGUGCUCGAGUGGCGAACGGGUGAGUAACACGUGAGUAACCUGCCCUUGACUUUGGGAUAACUUCAGGAAACUGGGGCUAAUACCGGAUAGGAGCUCCUGCUGCAUGGUGGGUGUUGGAAAGUUUCGGCGGUUGGGGAUGGACUCGCGGCUUAUCAGCUUGUUGGUGGGGUAGUGGCUUACCAAGGCUUUGACGGGUAGCCGGCCUGAGAGGGUGACCGGCCACAUUGGGACUGAGAUACGGCCCAGACUCCUACGGGAGGCAGCAGUGGGGAAUAUUGCACAAUGGGCGGAAGCCUGAUGCAGCAACGCCGCGUGCGGGGUGACGGCCUUCGGGUUGUAAGCCGCUUUCGCCUGUGACGAAGCGUGAGUGACGGUAAUGGGUAAAGAAGCACCGGCUAACUACGUG